GACGAACGCUGGCGGCGUGCCUAAUACAUGCAAGUCGAGCGAUGAAGAUUGGUGCUUGCCCCAAUUUGAAGAGCAGCGCACGGGUGAGUAACGCGUGGGGAAUCUGCCUUUGAGCGGGGGACAACAUUUGGAAACGAAUGCUAAUACCGCAUAACAACUUUAAACAUAAGUUUUAAGUUUGAAAGAUGCAAUUGCAUCACUCAAAGAUGAUCCCGCGUUGUAUUAGCUAGUUGGUGAGGUAAAGGCUCACCAAGGCGUUGAUACAUAGCCGACCUGAGAGGGUGGACGGCCAAAUUGGGAAUGGAACAAGGCCCAAACUCCUACGGGGGGGAGCAAGAGGGGAACUUCGGCAAUGGACGAAAGUCUGAACGAACAACGCCGGGGGAGUGAAGGAGGGUGUCGGAUCGUAAAACUCUGUUGGUAGGGGAGAAAGGUGGUGAGAGUGGAAAGCUCAUGAAGUGACGGUAACUACACAGAAAGGGACGGCUAACUACGUG
rnacentral:rRNA from 1 species